rnacentral:tRNA from 1 species
AGCUUUAUAGUCAAUAUAAUAAUGAUAUUAGACUGCAAUUCUAAAGUAGGUUAAUUUACCUAAAGCUU